CUUUUUUACGAUUGUCAACAUUUCUCAGCUCUCAGCUCAAUCGCCUCAAGAAAUCAGGUCUGGCCAUAAAUUAGAUCGCGCUGGUUUGAGCUCUUAGGUGGCCGGCCUACUGAAUCACGCACAUUUGCUGGAAAUUUGAAAGAAGAAAUUUGAAUUGGCUAAGAAGUUCAAGAACACAAUAAUCGUUAAUCAUCGGUGGAUAGAAGAUUGUGUAAAGCGACGGAAGCGUGUUCCAAAGCAUCCUUCUGCAAUUUUAGCUCAUAAAUUUUCAAGUUUGAUUAUAUAGUUUUUCUGGUAUUGAAUGUGCGGUCAAUUUUGAUUUGCUUAGUGUAGGUGAUUGUAGCAAUUUUAUUCACGUCCUAUCAUUCCAGGGGAGAAAAUUUAGUGGAAGUUCUUGGCUCUGUGAUGUGGUAAAAAUUAUAUGAGCUAUUUCUAUUUGAUUUUCUAGAGAGAAAUAGAAUAGUGUUAGAUCAUGAAGAAUUAUGAAGUUAAAUGGCACUGAUUUUGAAGACAGUGGUUGUGAUUUUAUCUUAUUAGGCUGAUAAGAAUUUUCUGA